rnacentral:tRNA from 1 species
GCCGGGGUCUCCUAGCCUGGUUAUGGAGCGAGUCUCAUAAUCUCGUUCUCGCGGGUUCAAAUCCCGCCCCCGGCA